rnacentral:rRNA from 1 species
UACAGGGGGGGCAAGCGUUGUUCGGAAUUACUGGGCGUAAAGGGUCUGUAGGUGGCUUGCUAAGUCAGACGUGAAAUCCCUCAGCUUAACUGGGGAACUGCGUCUGAUACUGGCAAGCUUGAGUGCAGGAGAGGAACGCGGAAUUCCAGGUGUAGCGGUGAAAUGCGUAGAUAUCGGGAAGAACACCCGUGGCGAAGGCGGUUCUCUGGGACGGUACUGACGCUGAGACGCGAAAGCGUGGGGAGCAAACAGG